rnacentral:rRNA from 1 species
GACGAACGCUGGCGGCGUGCCUAACACAUGCAAGUCGAGCAGGGAUUUAAGUGGAAGUUCUUCGGAAUGGAGAUUUAAAUUCUAGCGGCGGACGGGUGAGUAACGCGUGAACAAUCUGUCCCGGACAGGGGGAUAACACUUGGAAACAGGUGCUAAUACCGCAUAAGACCACGGCCUCGCAUGGGGCUGAGGUAAAAGGAGCAAUCCGGUUCGGGGUGAGUUCGCGUCCGAUUAGCUAGUUGGUGAGGUAACGGCCCACCAAGGCGACGAUCGGUAGCCGGCCUGAGAGGGUGAACGGCCACAUUGGAACUGAGAGACGGUCCAAACUCCUACGGGAGGCAGCAGUGGGGAAUAUUGGGCAAUGGGCGAAAGCCUGACCCAGCAACGCCGCGUGAGGGAAGAAGGUUUUCGGAUUGUAAACCUCUGUCCUAUGGGACGAAGGAAGUGACGGUACCAUAGGAGGAAGCCCCGGCUAACUACGUG